AACAGGAUUAGAUACCCUGGUAGUCCACGCCCUAAACGAUGUCAACUAGUUGUCGGGGAUUCAUUUCCUUGGUAACGCAGCUAACGCGUGAAGUUGACCGCCUGGGGAGUACGGCCGCAAGGUUAAAACUCAAAGGAAUUGACGGGGACCCGCACAAGCGGUGGAUGAUGUGGAUUAAUUCGAUGCAACGCGAAAAACCUUACCUACGCUUGACAUGCCAGGAACUUUCCAGAGAUGGAUUGGUGCCCGAAAGGGAACCUGGACACAGGUGCUGCAUGGCUGUCGUCAGCUCGUGUCGUGAGAUGUUGGGUUAAGUCCCGCAACGAGCGCAACCCUUUUCCUUAGUUGCUACGCAAGGGCACUCUAGGGAUACUGCCGGUGACAAACCGGAGGAAGGUGGGGAUGACGUCAAGUCCUCAUGGCCCUUAUGUGUAGGGCUUCACACGUCAUACAAUGGUCGGUACAGAGGGUCGCCAACCCGCGAGGGGGAGCCAAUCCCAGAAAACCGAUCGUAGUCCGGAUUGCACUCUGCAACUCGAGUGCAUGAAGUCGGAAUCGCUAGUAAUCGCGGAUCAGCAUGUCGCGGUGAAUACGUUCCCGGGUCUUGUACACACCGCCCGUCACACCAUGGGAGUGGGUUUUGCCAGGAGUGGGUAGCCUAACCGCAAGGAGGGCGCUUACCACGGCAGGGCUCAUGACUGGGGUGAAGUCGUAACAAGGUAGCCGUAUCGGAAGGUGCGGCUGGAUCACCUCCUU
rnacentral:rRNA from 1 species